UUUUUAUUGCUUCUCAAAGCUUUGAUGGUGUAGCCGAAGUCUGUAUGAGUCUUUGGCUUUGUAUCUUCUAACAAGGAAACACUACUUAGGCUUUUAAGAUCCAGUUGUGGUGCUAGUUCUUAU
rnacentral:pre_miRNA from 1 species